rnacentral:sRNA from 1 species
AAAUAGCGCCGUCCUUAGCUAUCACCAUUCGCCUUAGGCUUAAGAUGGUGGUGGUAGUGUUGUGGAAGCAGCCUGAGCAGUAACUUCUUGUCCGCCUGGUUGGACAUUUCACCGCUGGAUUAUUCCAUCUCGGGUAGCAGAUUUUGAGCAGCUCGUUCUUCUUCUCCUCGACUUGGCUAGUCGUACGUUGUUGUCGUUGUUGUUGUUGCAGGUAAUUCUCUCAUGUUGCCGGCCGGAUUCGUAUGAUGAGACGGCGUGCGCGGCGUGUGAUGGUUUGGUGCUCCGCCGGCCGCGGAGGUGAAUGAGCGGAGGAGCGGCGUCGUACGUCGACCUGGCGCCGCCGGUGCCGGGGGGAUAAGCUAGCCUCGGCAGCAGCAACACCCGCCAUUCUUCCUCCUUGAGGAUAGUAGCCGCCGCCGCCGCCGCCGUCCGUAGCACGCGACGUACGGCCGCCGGCUCCGACGACACCCUUCGCCGCGUGUCGAAAAGCCGCCGCCAUGCGGUUGAUUUCGCUCUCUGCGUACCCAGGUGUGGGCGUUUCGUGAUCUCUUCUCUAUUUUCGCCUGCCCUUUUUUGUCGAUCCUCAAACAUACCAGGAGUUUAGGUGGACAUAUGCAUGGUGACACCAUUUAGCUAUCCGAUUUGCACUAUUAAUAGAGAAUCAAUUACAAACU